rnacentral:rRNA from 1 species
AUUGAACGCUGGCGGCAUGCCUUACACAUGCAAGUCGAACGGUAACGGGCCUUCGGGUGCCGACGAGUGGCGAACGGGUGAGUAAUACAUCGGAACGUGCCCGAUCGUGGGGGGUAACGAGGCGAAAGCUUUGCUAAUACCGCAUACGAUCUACGGAUGAAAGCAGGGGACCGCAAGGCCUUGCGCGGACGGAGCGGCCGAUGGCAGAUUAGGUAGUUGGUGGGAUAAAAGCUUACCAAGCCGACGAUCUGUAGCUGGUCUGAGAGGAUGAUCAGCCACACUGGGACUGAGACACGGCCCAGACUCCUACGGGAGGCAGCAGUGGGGAAUAUUGGACAAUGGGCGCAAGCCUGAUCCAGCCAUGCCGCGUGCAGGAUGAAGGCCUUCGGGUUGUAAACUGCUUUUGUACGGAACGAAAAGCCUUCUUUUAAUACAGGAGGGUCAUGACGGUACCGUAAGAAUAAGCACCGGCUAACUACGUG